rnacentral:lncRNA from 1 species
UUAAUAAUUUUAUUCCGGAAUUAACCUUACCAAAACAUUGGCGAACGCAUAGGUAGCUUUGUCAGUUCACUCAGCGCAUGUCAGUGUGUCAGCCUACUUGCCAUAGCCCUUCAUUCUUACCCCAUUCUAGCUAUUUCUCUAUCCUCUUACUCUAGGCUCUAGCUCUCUCUCUCUCCUUACUAUCUCAUAAGAAAAAAAAAAUCGUUGUUAAUCGUCUUUCUCCUCACUCUCUUUGAUUUCUAAUCCCCAUAACAUAAACCAAUCGAUUGACUAAUCGUCAAUGUUUUCUCAUCCUCUUUGUUUUCUUCUUAGCUUUUUUUGAUUAUGUCUUUUUCAAUUAUGAAGAUCUUUAUAAUCGGAAAAAUGGAUGAGGAUGUCAUCUCAGGUUCGUUUGAAAUACUUAUCUCUUUUUUUUUUCGUCUAACAUGCACCGUGAAAUGAUUUUUACUAAGUUGGAUUCGAACUUGAUUUUAUUGUUUACUUUUGAUUUUAUUGUUUACUAUUGAGAAACAUUCCACAUCGGAUAUAUAAGAAUUAAUCUACUACUAUAUAAAGAGUUAGAGUCAAUCCACUCAUUAUCAAUUGGUUUUAAGUUGGAAACACAUAAUAAACCUGAAUCUAACAUGGUAUCAGAGCCCAGAUCCUAAUAAGUUAAACCCCUAAUUAAUAUUAAUCCUACCCGACCGGGUAUAUAGAUCAUAAUUGACUCGCUCGACCGAGUAUAACUGUCUUAAAAAAAGUUUCUGAGAUUUCUAGCCGAUAAGAGCCAUCAUCUCGAGGAGGGGUAUUAAGGGAUAUGUAUCCCACAUUGAAAAAUCAAUGGGACAUUAAGUAAUAUAUAAAGGGUUAGGGCCAAUCCACUAAUUGCCAAUUGGUUUUGAAUUGGAAGCCCAUAAUAAAUCCGAAUCUAACAUGGUAUCAGAGUCCAGAUCCUAAUAAGUUAAACCCCUAAUUAAUAUUAAGGAAAAUUGAUCGCUGGCUACAUGAAGUAUUGGCCAUCACAUGGCUAACCAUGCAAACUAAACUAAAGUAUACAUAGCUACAUGAAGUAUAUGUUAUGCAUGAACAUCACAAGUUUAAUUUCAUUCAUCCAAAAAUUGAUGUGGAUGUUAGAGACCGUUUAAAUAUCUUAUUUCAUAAAUUAAAAUAUAACUAAUCUGACCGUAGUUUAACUAAAAUUAGAUUUUAAUCCGCAUUUUAAAAGCAUAAGAUUAUUUUUUCUUAAAUUAAUUUACAAAAUCAAUAUGUUUCAAUAUUUUUUGAUAACUAGUAUUUUAGCAUUUGAAAACUAUAUAAUUAUAUUAUUUAUAUUUAUAUUAAAUUUAAAAGUUAUAUAAGAUAUUAUUUUAUUUUUUAAUUAUAAAACUUAUUUGACGUCAAUCUAACAUUUUAUUUGUUUAAAACUUAUUUGAUGUCAACUUAAAUCAAAUAUUAUCUCGUGUAUAUAGUUAUUAAUUAUAUACUUUUAAGAAUAAAAGUAAUCAAAUAAUACAAAUCUAAUAUUAAAGUUUUAUUAAGUUUAAAUGAAUUAAGUUUUUUUAUGAAAAUAUAAAUAAAAUAAUUCAUUAAUUUAAUAAAUUUUAUAUUAAACAAAUAAAAUGUUAGAGUCAAUAAAUAGACAUCAAAUAAGUUUUAUAAUAAUAAAAAAUUAUAAGAUAAGUAUAUAUCACAAAAUUAAUAAAAUGAAUUACAGAAAUAUUAUUAAAAUUUAGUAACAAAACAGAUUAGAAUAAUUAAAAACAAAAUUAAAUAAUCCUAUAUAACUUUUAUAUUUAAUAUAAAUAAAAUAAUAUAAUUAUAUAGUUAUCAAAUACACUAAAACAAAAAGGUUAAAACACUACUUAUAAAAAAAUAUUAAAAAUAUUGUUUUUGUAAAUUAAAUUUUGUUAAAAAUAUUCUUAUGCUUUUAAAACGCGGAUUAAAACACAAUUUAAGUUACAUUACGGUUAGAUUGAUUAUAUUUUAAUUGAUGAAACAAAAUAUUUAAACAGUCUCAAACAUCUACAUCAGCUUUUGAAUAAACAAAAUUAAACUUGUGAUGUUAACUACAUAACAUCAUUAAGUUGAUGGAUGUUGUCAUGCAUAACUUAUACUUCGUGUAGCUAGAUAUACAUUAAUUUAGUUUGCAUGGUUAGCCAUGUGAUGACCGAUACUUCAUGUAGUCAGCAAUCAUUUUUCCUAAUAUUAAUCCUACCCGACCGGGUAUAUAGGUCGUAAUUGACUCGCUCGACCGAGUAUAACUGUCUUAAAAAAAGUUUCCGAGAUUUCUGACCGAUAAGAGCCAUCAUCUCGAGGAGGGGUAUUAAGGGAUAUGUAUCCCACAUUGAAAAAUCAAUGGGACAUUAAGUAAUAUAUAAAGGGUUAGGGCCAAUCCACUAAUUGCCAAUUGGUUUUAAGUUCGAAGCCAAUAAUAAACCCGAAACUAACAUGGUAUCAGAGCGAUAAGAUCAUUUGACCUAAUUUACUACAAUUACUACUACUAUACCAAUGUUGGGCCCUCUGUGGAUGUUAUUCCCACAUUGUCCACGCUUCAGACCUAGAUGUCUGAGCGUGAGGGAGGGUAUUGAUGAGAAACAUCCCACAUCAGAUAUAUAAGAAUUAAUCUACUACUAUAUAAAGGGUUAGAGUCAAUCCACUCAUUACCAAUUGGUUUUAAGUUGGAAGCCCAUAAUAAACUUGAAUCUAACAUUUACUGAAUUAAUUUUUGUGUUUAAUUUUGUUUUAAAGCUUUAAUAGUUGAUGAUAUAUCUUUUUGAGUUUUUGACAUUUAGUUCUUUUUCGCAUAUCAAAAUCAUAUGAAAUUCUAAAUUCAUUUUAUGUAUUUGAUUUUUCUACUUAAAACUUUUAUAUUUGAUGAUUAUCUUCUUUGAUUGAUGGUCAUUUAGUUCUCAGUUUAAUUACAUCAAAAUCAUAUAAAAAUGUUUGGCGGUGUAGGUGAAACUUGCACUGGAUCUGGAAACAUAUUCGUUGAUGAAGUCUCUUCCUUAGAUCGGGAAGCUGUUUCUAAAGAACAAAGCGGAAACUAGAGAGGAGACAAGCGACUUCGUGAUGUUUUUUAUGUGGAUUAUAUUUGUGUUAUCAGGCAUUAAACUUGUUAUCCAAUCAUGUUUUAGUGAAUCUUCAGUUUUAUGUCGCCAUUUGAGAUAAAUGUUUUGUUGGCUGUUACUUUUUUAUUGUUUCUAAUUAAUAAUAUGUGGUAAAGUGUUACAAACUAUGUGUCGUUAGUAGAUAUAUGGUUGGUUAGAUGAUACAUGACAUGUUAGGUGCUACAAUUGGCUUGGUACUUGAUUAAUUAGCAGA